GCUACAAACAGGAAUCGGUGGCACCUGCUCUUCAAUUGAACUAAACCUACUUUUCUCAGGAAAGUGAAAAACAAGAUCGAUUUUGAGAGCACAGUGCCCGUGAGAUUUUAAAAGGCACAAAUUGUCCUAAGUCAGCACAGGUGUCCUUGUAAUGGGGACAGAGGGACAGUAGCAUUUCUCCAUCUGUCCGUGAGCAGAAGUCGCCUGGGACCUACGAAAUGAGACGCAGAUUCUGGUGCCACGGGUCUCCGGUCGGGAAUCUCAGAGGGGGCAGAAACAACUGGAGAAGGAAAAGCAGAUCUUGGGAGCACCUCACCCUGGACCUGCAAGCAAGAAGUGCAGAUGGGAACACAGGCUCCCCUGGUUUGCUCCCCAUUCUGGCCAGCUGCAACAAGGUUGAAUGGUUUGCCUCUGCCACAUUCUCCUACCUUGGUGUAUUACCUCACCUGACGCAAAAGCAGUGAAACCAAUGGAUCAUGGACGCUAAUCUGGCUCUAAGUGCAAGCCAAAAU